rnacentral:rRNA from 1 species
AUACGUAGGUGACAAGCGUUAUCCGGCUUUACUGGGCGUAAAGGGCGUGUAGGCGGUCUUGCAAGUCAGAAGUGAAAUUCCUGAGCUCAACUCGGGCGCUGCUUCUGAAACUGCAGGACUUGAGUGCUGGAGGGGAUAGUGGAAUUCCUAGUGGAGCGGUAAAAUGCGCAGAUAUUAGGAAGAACACCGGUGGCGAAGGCGGCUAUCUGGACAGUAACUGUCGCUGAGGAGCGAAAGCGUGGGGAGCAAACAGGAUUAGAUCCCCUGGUAGUCCACGCCGUAAACGAUGAAUACUAGGUGUAGGGGGUAUCGACUCCCUCUGUGCCGCAGUGAACACAAUAAGUAUUCCGCCUGGGGAGUACGGCCGCAAGGUUGAAACUCAAAUGAAUUGACGGG